GGCGGCAGGCCUAACACAUGCAAGUCGAGCGCACCUUCGGGUGAGCGGCGGACGGGUUAGUAACGCGUGGGAACGUACCCUUUUCUACGGAAUAGCCUUUGGAAACGAAGAGUAAUACCGUAUACGCCCUUUGGGGGAAAGAUUUAUCGGAGAAGGAUCGGCCCGCGUUAGAUUAGAUAGUUGGUGGGGUAACGGCUUACCAAGUCUACGAUCUAUAGCUGGUUUUAGAGGAUGAUCAGCAACACUGGGACUGAGACACGGCCCAGACUCCUACGGGAGGCAGCAGUGGGGAAUCUUAGACAAUGGGCGCAAGCCUGAUCUAGCCAUGCCGCGUGAGUGAUGAAGGCCUUAGGGUCGUAAAGCUCUUUCGCCUGUGAUGAUAAUGACAGUAGCAGGUAAAGAAACCCCGGCUAACUCCGUGCCAGCAGCCGCGGUAAUACGGAGGGGGUUAGCGUUGUUCGGAAUUACUGGGCGUAAAGCGCACGUAGGCGGAUUGGAAAGUUGGGGGUGAAAUCCCGGGGCUCAACCCCGGAACUGCCUCCAAAACUAUCAGUCUAGAGUUCGAGAGAGGUGAGUGGAAUUCCAAGUGUAGAGGUGAAAUUCGUAGAUAUUUGGAGGAACACCAGUGGCGAAGGCGGCUCACUGGCUCGAUACUGA
rnacentral:rRNA from 1 species